ACGUAGGGUGCGAGCGUUGUCCGGAAUUAUUGGGCGUAAAGAGCUCGUAGGCGGUGUGUCACGUCGGCCGUGAAAACCUGGGGCUUAACUCUGGGCGUGCGGUCGAUACGGGCAUCACUAGAGUUCGGCAGGGGAGACUGGAAUUCCUGGUGUAGCGGUGAAAUGCGCAGAUAUCAGGAGGAACACCGGUGGCGAAGGCGGGUCUCUGGGCCGAUACUGACGCUGAGGAGCGAAAGCAUGGGGAGCGAACAGGAUUAGAUACCCUGGUAGUCCAUGCCGUAAACGUUGGGCGCUAGGUGUGGGGUCCAUUCCACGGGUUCCGUGCCGCAGCUAACGCAUUAAGCGCCCCGCCUGGGGAGUACGGCCGCAAGGCUA
rnacentral:rRNA from 1 species